rnacentral:lncRNA from 1 species
UGCAGGUCACUCUUUUUGCAGUACACUGUGCUGGAUGCUUCAACUAUUUAAUUGCUGACAGAUACCAUGAUGCAAAGAGAACCUGGAUAGGUGCAGCAAUGCCAAAUUUCAGAUCAGAAAGCCUGUGGAUCAGAUAUGUAACGGCAACUUACUGGUCCAUUACAACACUGACAACAACUGGUUAUGGUGACUUACAUGCCGAGAACACGAGAGAAAUGUUGUUUGAUAUCUUCUACAUGCUGUUUAAUUUGGGACUGACUGCUUACCUCAUUGGAAACAUGACGAACCUUGUUGUUCAUGGAACCAGCCGCACCAGAAACUUUGUAUGUUUCCUUCCCUCACCACAGUCGACAAUAAAUUUUGAAGUCCACUUUCUUACGCUUACCUGAUGAUGAGUUGGAAAGAUAAAGAAAUAAUUGUUACAAAUUACAAGUAAUCACUCAAAAAUAAAAUCUUAGAUUAAGUUCAUCAAUAUUAAUCUAACACAGAAUUAUUUUCAAUAAACAAAUAAUUGUUGCAAAUUACAAGUAAUCACACAAUAGCGAAUUCUUAGUUAAGUUCAUCAAUAUUAAUUUAACAUAGACAAUUAUAUUCAAUCAUUAUCAGAUAGAAGAUUAAUAAAUGUAUUCUUCAGGUAAUUUUUAUCCCGUAGAAAACAAAUAGCAACCUCCAUAUCAUUUUGAAAUUGUCAGCAAUACAUGCUCUCUUUUUCAAUGGUGUCUCACUAAAUUGAUCAGUCUUCCCAGUAAAUUACAGUCUUUUUCUUCUGAUCUGUAAGCGGAAACCUUAAAAAUUUAUCGAAUAACGUAUGCGCGCGCACGCCUGUAUAUAUGUGGCGUUCUCCACCAUCUGAAGAGACCAUGGAAUUGAUCUCUCCAGCUAGUUGAACAUCAGCCGUUACAGUUUGCCAACAGUUGAAAAUAAAUCAGCUAUUAGAGAGCAUAGAUGUCACACGUUUCUAUUAAGACGGUUCAUGUAAUUUUCUCUCUUUCCUGCUGAUGUUUCUCUUUUGAUGCUACAGAGGGAAACGAUUCAAGCUGCUUCUGAAUUUGCAGCACGAAAUCAGUUGCCUCAGCACAUAAAGGAUCAAAUGCUAUCUCACAUAUGCCUAAGGUUCAGGACAGAGGGGCUGAAACAGCAAGAAACUUUGAACGGCCUCCCGAAGGGCCUUCGUUCGAGCAUAGCAUACUAUUUAUUUUUUCCCAUUGUUAAGAGAGUCUAUCUUUUCCAUGGAGUUUCCUCUGAUUUCAUUUUCCAACUGGUACGGUAUCAAAAUUUUAACAGAAUAAAUGCAGCAAUUGCCAAAAUCCCUAACAUAUGCAUGGUCCAAAGCAUUGCCUGCAUACUGAUGCGACUUUCCUCCUGUAAAAUGUAAAUAGGUUACAGAAAUGCAGGCUGAAUACUUUCCGCCCAAGGAAGAUGUAAUACUGCAGAAUGAAACUCCAACAGAUCUUUAUAUAUUAGUAUCAGGAGCAGUGGUUAGUUUUAGUAAAAUUAUAUGCUCUACACCUCUGUAACAAUAACCUCGAUGCCUUAAUUCUUAGAGUUGUCUGCAAUUGUUGCCACUAAGUUGUAAUUGUGUGUGCAUUGACUUUGUUGCAGGAGCUAAGAGCAAACUUUAACGGAAUAGAGCAAGUAAGAGUUUUCUUCUGCGCACAAAAACAUGUUCUCAAAUACAUGCAUCUAAUAGAUGGAUUGCUAACCUUUAUCCAGGUUCAUGGAAGGGUAUUUUCUGGGGAAAUAUUUGGGGAGAGUGGGGUUCUAUGUUACACACCACAACCAUUUACUGUUCGUACAAUUGAGCUCUCCCAAAUACUGAGGCUGAGUAGCAUUAGACUCAUGAACUUGAUUAGAGAAAACAUGGAAGAUGGGACUAUUGUAAUGAACAACCUAUUCCAGGUACAUCUUGGAUUUGACUUGCCUAAUUGCACCAUGCAGAGUUCUUAAAUAAUUCUCUUAUUUUGACAGAAAUAGGAGCUGAUGCUUCUGUGCAUCAUUUUACAGAAGCUGAAGCUACACGAAAGCUUAUCUGAUGUUAUGCAACAUAAAGAUCCAAUAUUAGUCAAUGAAAGCUUUGAUGGAGGACCAAUCAGAGAAUAUGAGAACUUCCCUACUCGACACCAAGAAAAUCAGGUCCAGAAACAGCCAAUUAUGGACACAGGAAUCCUAUUAAGCAAGGAAGCAGAGAAUAACGAUCUCGACUCCAUAAAAGAGCUUCUAAGUUUGGGGGCUGAUGCAAAUUCAACAGAUGCAGAUGGCCGAAGAGCCCUUCAUAGGGCUAUUCAAGACAGCGAUUUUGAAAUGGUCAAGCUGUUGCUUGAACAAGGAGCAAACAUAGAUAUCCCAGAUGCUAAUUGUUGGACAUCAAAGGAUCUGGCUGGGAAAGCAGGAGAGAAGGACAUCUAUCAACUUUUAUUAAAUCACAAAAAGAGGACAAGAUUCACAACAGAAGAUCAUCAAAUUGAAAUCAGAUCAACUAACAGAAGCAGAAACAAUACAAUCCAAGGCAAUUGUGAAAGGAGCCAACAAUUCAUACACUCAACAUUUCCUGCAUGUUCAACAAGAGGCAGCCAUUUAGUUGAUAGCAAUCACAUAAAAAUGAGCACCAAAAGAGUUACCAUUCAUAUGUAUUCUCAAAGGUCACGAAGUUCAAGGGAACAAUUUGGAAAGCUGAUAAGCCUACCUGGUACUCUGGAUGAGCUCUUCAGAAUCGCCGGUAAGUAUCAUUUAUUUGGCAAGAAUAUAUGGUGAAAAACCUGUCAACUAAACUGGAUGAUUAUGUUUCCAUUCAGUUCAAUGCUAAAUUGACAAUCGCAUGAAAAAUAGAUUAUCUAAUAAAAGAACCAAGCAGAUAAAUAGAUUAUCUAAUAAAGAACCAAGCAGAUAAAUAAUCUCACCCCCCAAAAGGAAUCCAAACCUUAAACUAGGACUUACAACUGUAUGUGAACCAAAAUCCCAUCUCAUCCAGAGUUAUCCUCAAUUAUCCUUAAUUGGUCGUCUCACUGUCUUGCAAAAUUGCAGGUCAGAAGUUC